GCAAUCUCGGUAGUUAUUUAUUUUGAUACUCUGGGGGAGACGCGUAGCUCGCAUUCAAGUUGAGUGCUGAUACGUAGGGUAGGUAUCGAUAAUCCGAUUAUCGAUAGACGGGAUACUAAUGUCGUAAGUGCGGCAUGUUAAUGGGAAACCCAACA
rfam:Vibrio sp. N418 VIBRN418_32, whole genome shotgun sequence.